AAGCAGAGCAUAGAUCCUCUGCAGUGCAGAGUUUGCACCAUAAAGUGUUGUACAUACUUACUCAGUAGCCACCAUUAGAACACGGACAACUCUCAAACAAGACGGCUUUAUGUACCAUACUCGAUGUGUACUAUUGAUGGCCACUUUUGAUGAUGGCCAUCAAGGACUGCACAGCACUGCAAUGCAAAACAUACAACACAGAGGAUGCCCGGCCAACCAUUUUUGCUUUCAAGCAUGUCCUUCUUUGGCACACCGGUAGCACACGAUUGGUUCAUGAGCAGGAGCCGCAUCUUGGGCCAUGUAUGGGAUCAACUGCGCAUCAUGCUCCUACACCGUGUAGGCCAAUCACCGUAUGAGAAGACAGGAAAUUAGCAUAAGAGACCAUGCUCCACGAAUUUAUGGCAUAUGUGCAUAUAAAAGAGGGGAAAAUCAAGGCUUACCCUUUCUUUCUCGUCCAUUGUAACCAACUCUUCUUUUCAUACCAACAGAACUCCUUUAGGCACUCAAUGCAUCCAAAAACUAUGAUAUGCAUGGAUUCUACUAGAAGUAGCAAUAUGACAUUGUACCUGAUAAGAUUUGACCAUUCCUAGUGUUAUAUCUAAAAAUCUAAAAAUUAUAAGACUUCCCGUGGACAAGUUUC
rnacentral:lncRNA from 1 species